rnacentral:rRNA from 1 species
GAGUUUGAUCGUGGCUCAGAGUGAACGCUGGCGGUAGGCCUAACACAUGCAAGUCGAACGGUAACAGGUCUUUCGGGAUGCUGACGAGUGGCGGACGGGUGAGGAAUACAUCGGAAUCUGCUCAGUCGUGGGGGAUAACGCAUGGAAACGUGCGCUAAUACCGCAUACGACCUUCGGGUGAAAGCAGGGGAAUCUUUAGGGAUCCUUGCGCGAUUGAAUGAGCCGAUGUCGGAUUAGCUAGUUGGUAGGGUAAAAGCCUACCAAGGCGACGAUCCGUAGCUGGUCUGAGAGGAUGAUCAGCCACACUGGGACUGAGACACGGCCCAGACUCCUGCGGGAGGCAGCAGUGGGGAAUAUUGGACAAUGGGGGCAACCCUGAUCCAGCCAUACCGCGUGGGUGAAGAAGGCCUUCUGGGUUGUAAAGCCCUUUUGUUGGGGAAGAAAAACAACGGGUUAAUACCCCGUUGGUAUGACGGUACCCAAAGAAUAAGCACCGGCUAACUUCGUGCCAGCAGCCGCGGUAAUACGAAGGGUGCAAGCGUUACUCGGAAUUACUGGGCGUAAAGGGUGCGUAGGUGGUUGCGCCAGUCUGUCGUGAAAGCCCUGGGCUUAACCUGGGAAUGGCGAUGGAAACUGUGCAACUAGAGUGUGACAGAGGGUGGUGGAAUUCCUGGUGUAGCAGUGAAAUGCGUAGAGAUCAGGAGGAACAUUCGUGGCGAAGGCGGCCACCUGGGUCAACACUGACACUGAGGCACGAAAGCGUGGGGAGCAAACAGGAUUAGAUACCCUGGUAGUCCACGCCCUAAACGAUGCGAACUGGAUGUUGGGUCCAACUUGGGAUUCAGUAUCGAAGCUAACGCGUUAAGUUCGCCGCCUGGGGAGUACGGUCGCAAGACUGAAACUCAAAGGAAUUGACGGGGGCCCGCACAAGCGGUGGAGUAUGUGGUUUAAUUCGAUGCAACGCGCAGAACCUUACCUGGCCUUGACAUGCACGGGAGUCUUUAGAGAUAGAG